AGGAGCGAUGGGGAUAGUGGUAGAGUUUGAAAAGAAGGAGAAGGUGUUAGAAGAAAAGGGGAUGGUGGGAGCAGGUGAGGCUCAUAACCAUCUUAGAUGGGAGGAAGGAUAGAGAGGAUGGAUGAGGAUAGUUGUGGGGUUUACAAAGGAGAAUGAGGUGGUAGUAGUAGGUAGGGUUCAAGUGCGGCUCAGGAUCAAGUUAGAUAGACAGAGGGGAUGGACAGGAGAGAUGAGGCUGGUGACAAAUUCAGAGAAGAGGAGAAGGAGAUGUUAGAAGAGGGGAGGUGGUGGAGGUGGAUAGGGUCUAGAUGGGACUCGGGAUGACGAUAGAGUUUAGAGAGGAGGAGGAGAAUGUGUUGGAAGAGGAGGAGGAGGUUGGAAUUGAUAGGGCACGAGUAGGACCAAGUUAUAUAGAGGGGAGGGAUGGAGAGAAAGGAUGAAGAAGGCAGUAAGGUUUAAUGAGGAGGAGGAGGAAGAGGUGUUGGGAAAAGGAAGUGUCGAGAGUGAGAAAGGAUGAUAAGAACAAAGAGGACAUGUUUUAAUAAAUAAGCCUUAGUGAGGGCAAAAUUAUUCUUUAUAAUAUUGUCUUAACAGUGUUGGACAUCGAAUGGGGCUCAAA
rnacentral:lncRNA from 1 species